GUUCCUGUGGGUCCUGUUCGUAUGUAGUUGUGAGUUGGUCCUCCUGCUGAAACCGUGACAUAAAGCUAAAAGGGGGAGUGACACAGACUACGGGCGAAAAACUGAGUCAACUUUGGUCGUGUUUUCAACGGAUGGAGACAGUUGGGGGAUUGUAAAUGAUUCAAAACCGACCCUGAAUUGGCCCGCAGACAGGACAGAAACAUGUGAACAGUGACUCUCAGGUGACAGGAGAGGAGAUCCUACCUUUACACCAGGCGUUGAACAGCACGUACAGGUCGGUGGCGGCGUCCCUCCC